AUGUGGACUUCUGUACUGCUCCCCUGUGAAGGAGCAAUAUUCUACAUAAUUCUGAGAGCUCUUACUACUCAACUUUCCUGCACAAACUCAGCAACAUCAAGAGAGUUUCGUCUCUCACCUGGACCUUCCUGGUCUCACUUUUCGGCCUCCCUGGACCCCUCCAGUGUAAAGACUUCAGCUUCCUUGGAACUCUUAAAAAAAAUCCCCUUUUCAGAUUCUUUGGAUCUCUCCAGCCUGAGCUCUUCAGCCUCUGUGGAAUUUUCCAGUCUCACUUCUUCAUCUUCUCUGGACCUUUCCAGUCUCACAUCUUCAACCUCUUCAGACUUCUCCAGUACAUCCUCUUCAGUCUCCUUAGAGCUCUCCAGUAUCACCUCUUCAGAUUCCUGGGAACACUCCAGUUUCACCUCAUCCAUUUCACUGGACUUAUCAAGUCUCACCUCCUCAGGCUCCCUGAAUCUCUCCGGCAACAGUUCCUCAAUCUCCUUAGAUCUCUCAAGUCUCACCUCGAUACCUUCUCCAGACUUCUCCAGUCCAACUUCUUCAUCCUCUUUAGACCUCUCCAGUCUCACUUCUUCACCCUCCCUAGAUGCCUCCAGUCACACCUCUUCAGCUUCCUUAGAUGAUUCCUGCGAAAUCCCUCCGACCCCAACAUACAUCUCAGAGCAAACCUCAACCUCUUCAGAAUCACUGGAUCUCACUGAUUUUAACUACUUCAUGUUUCAGGGCUCCUCUGAGUUUCCCUCAUCGACUGCUGAGGAUGUUUCUAACCUCAUCUCUGCACCCUUCACAGAUGUCUCCAGCAUUUCCUUUCAGGAUUCUUCUUCCCUCACUUCCUCAAAUCCUUCAGACAUUUCUAACCUCACAACUUUAGUUCCCACUGAUGUAUCCACUCUCACAUUUCUAGAUGUUGCUAAUUGCACCUCUUCAGCUUCUCUUGAUCUCUGUAUUUAACUCUUCUAAUAUAUCCUUUCUUCUUUCUGCCAACUCACUGUACCUUUCUAAGCCUCCCUCCUUCAUGUGCUCCUUUUUAAGUUAUGUUUCCUACGCCUCUAAAAGAUUUUAUCUGAAGGGAGAUUCAGGCUUUACAAAUACAUUCUAGCAUUUAAACAACUUGAACAGGGCUUGAAAACAGUUUGUACAACUCUAUAAUGGUGCCUUGUUGACAGCUUUAUAAAUAUCAAUAUAUACUCUGCAAUUUUUGUAGAGCUCAAUUUCAGUCAUUAGUGUAAUUUCCAUUCUGUCUCAGCAUGGUACCUCUCCCAAAGAUUUAACUUCUAAUUCAUUCAGACAAUUUGUCUUUCAAAACCUACAAAUAGUAAAUAGAGCUAAAUGUGCAAAUAAUUGCACCCACAUCAUGCAUCUCCAAAACAGACUGAAAUCUGAAUGCACUGCACAGAACUGCAGAGGCAUUUCACAUGGAGAUACAGAGAGAGCAGAUGUGAUGGGGGGAAAAAACAGCUGAUUAAAAAGAGGAACAGGUGAGAGACAGCCAGGUGGGGAGAGGGAACAGAGGGACACACAGCAGGAACUAAGGUGUCCAUUUCAGCUACAAGAACUUUUGUUCUGCUGAGCCAUGUUUAUGGCCUGGGCAGCUCACAAGGCUUACACUGUUGGUCCAGACAGAAGGAACUACUGUAGGAAACCCUGCUUUCAGAACGUCAGCACAACUGCAGUGUGAUCUCAGCAGAGACAUCAGUUGGCAAAUAAAGACAGGAAAUUCUGCCUUCCCA
ensembl:lncRNA